CACCCUCACGAAACUGAAAUAGCAAGCCAGACUUCUCAUUGGCAUGAGAACCUGACCAUAACCAAACUACUUUCAUCAACAAGCAUUUUUUUUUUUUUGUAGAAUAAAGGAAACUAAUGGGCAGUAAGCCGCAUUAGUCACCAGAACAUUUAUCAACAAGUAAUCAACAUGCAUCAUAGCCAUUUGAUUCAUCCAGCCAUCAUACUAAACCGAGAUAAACAAAAACCAUAGGCGCAAGAUCACGCUCGAUUGAGUAUUAUUUCUCCAUAUUGCUGAACUAUUCAAAGCAAAAGAGUGAUGGUUUGGUGGCUUUGGGAAAUUCAAUCAAGAUUUCGACCUGAGACCAAGAUUUCUGAGCCUCGUCCCAUUUUUCACGAAGUUGUGCCAUGUCGAGCCCUGAUCGUCUACAUGAACAUGCAAACUUGAAAAUAGCGUUCAAACAGAAGAAUACUUCUCAAUCAUCAUAAAAGCUGAUGUAUUAAAUCUCAUUACGAAUGAAUGAAGGAGACGCCUCCUGCAUCUGCUCUGAUAAAAUAAGAUAAAAUAGGAGGAAAGCCUUCAAACCAAAACUUUUCACCUGGCUUAAUGCUUGCAAUCUUGGCCAAACAGACUACCACAUGAUUAGCAUCCCAAAGAAUGUGGAGGGAGGAGAAGCUAGACAAUAUAGAUGGGAGAUGCUUGAUAUUUCUCAAUGCUGAAUGAUGGGAGGAUUCCUUGCCAUCAAUCCAUGUCACCGUAGUCUUCGAAUCACCCUCACAAGAUGAUUUAUCAUUUAGAAAC
rnacentral:lncRNA from 1 species